CAGUCGAACGAGCGAGAGAGAGCUUGCUUUCUCGAGCGAGUGGCGAACGGGUGCGUAACGCGUGAGGAACCUGCCUCAAAGAGGGGGGCAACAGUUGGAAACGACUGCUAAUACCGCAUAAGCCCACGGCUCGGCAUCGAGCAGAGGGAAAAGGAGCAAUCCGCUUUGAGAUGGCCUCGCGUCCGAUUAGCUAGUUGGUGAGGUAACGGCCCACCAAGGCGACGAUCGGUAGCCGGACUGAGAGGUUGAACGGCCACAUUGGGACUGAGACACGGCCCAGACUCCUACGGGAGGCAGCAGUGGGGAAUAUUGCACAAUGGGGGAAACCCUGAUGCAGCGACGCCGCGUGGAGGAAGAAGGUCUUCGGAUUGUAAACUCCUGUUGUUGGGGAAGAUAAUGACGGUACCCAACAAGGAAGUGACGGCUAACUACGUGCCAGCAGCCGCGGUAAAACGUAGGUCACAAGCGUUGUCCGGAAUUACUGGGUGUAAAGGGAGCGCAGGCGGGAAGACAAGUUGGAAGUGAAAUCUAUGGGCUCAACCCAUAAACUGCUUUCAAAACUGUUUUUCUUGAGUAGUGCAGAGGUAGGCGGAAUUCCCGGUGUAGCGGUGGAAUGCGUAGAUAUCGGGAGGAACACCAGUGGCGAAGGCGGCCUACUGGGCACCAACUGACGCUGAGGCUCGAAAGUGUGGGUAGCAAACAGGAUUAGAUACCCUGGUAGUCCACACCGUAAACGAUGAUUACUAGGUGUUGGAGGAUUGACCCCUU
rnacentral:rRNA from 1 species